AUGAAGAGGCUGCUGUGCUCUCUGCUGGGGCUUCUGUGCACCCAGGUUUGCUGGGUGAAGGGGCAGCAAGUGCAGCAGAGUCCUGUGUCCUUGGUUCUGCAGGAGGGAGAGAACGCAGAGCUGCAGUGCAAAUUUUCCACCUCAGCAACCGGGCUGCAGUGGUUUUUCCAACGUCCUGGGAGAAGCCUUGUCAGCCUGUUGAACAAUCCUUCUGGGACAAAGAAGAGUGGAAGACUGACAUCCACGACAGUCACAAGGGAACGACGAAGUUCUUUGCACAUCUCCUCCUCCCAGACCACAGACUCAGGCACUUAUUUCUGUGCUAUGGAUGCACAGUGCUCCCCCACACACCUGCAGCCUGUGCACAAACCUUCAGCCGAGUGGUUAUGUCUCUUCUUAGUCAGAAGACAUCAGGAAGCCACCACAGAAUAUGUAUCUAGCUUAAUGCCUCUUUCCUGUAUCUCUAGAGUUUCACCCUCAUCUAAGCUUGAACUUGUAGGUUCAAAACUUUGA